rnacentral:rRNA from 1 species
AUACGUAGGGGGCGAGCGUUGUCCGGAAUGACUGGGCGUAAAGGGCGCGUAGGCGGCGCGGUAAGUCUGGAGUGAAAGUCCUGCUUUCAAGGUGGGAAUUGCUUUGGAUACUGCCGCGCUUGAGUGCAGGAGAGGUUAUCGGAAUUCCCGGUGUAGCGGUGAAAUGCGUAGAGAUCGGGAGGAACACCAGUGGCGAAGGCGGGUAACUGGACUGCAACUGACGCUGAGGCGCGAAAGUGUGGGGAGCAAACAGGAUUAGAUACCCUGGUAGUCCACACUGUAAACGAUGAAUGCUAGGUGUAAGAGGUAUCGACCCCUUUUGUGCCGGAGUCAACACAAUAAGCAUUCCGCCUGGGGAGUACGGCCGCAAGGUUGAAACUCAAAUGAAUUGGCGGGG